AACGUAGGUGGCGAGCGUUAUCCGGAUUCAUUGGGCGUAAAGCGCUUGUAGGUGGCCUUGUAAGUUGGACGUGAAAUCUCCCGGCUUAACUGGGAGGGGUCAUGCGAUACUGGCGGGCUCGAGGCAGGUAGGGGGAAGCGGAAUUCCCGGUGUAGUGGUGGAAUGCGUAGAUAUCGGGAGGAACACCAGUGGCGAAGGCGGCUUCCUGGACCUGUUCUGACGCUGAGGAGCGAAAGCGUGGGGAGCGAUCCGG
rnacentral:rRNA from 1 species